rnacentral:rRNA from 1 species
CCUACGGGCGGCAGCAGUGGGGAAUAUUGCACAAUGGGCGAAACCCUGACGCAGCGACGCCGCGUGAGUGAAGAAGUCUUUCGGUAUGUAAAGCUCUAUCAGCAGGGACGAAAAUGACGGUACCUGCUGAAGAAGCACCGGCUAACUACGUGCCAGCAGCAGCGGUAAUACGUAGGGGGCAAGCGUUGUCCGGAGUGAUGGGGUGUAAAGGGAGCGGAGGCGGCAGGUCAAGUCUGGAGUGAAAUGCCGGGGCUUAACACCGGUACGGCGUUUGAAACUGUUCAGCUAGAGUGCAGGAGAGGUAAGUGGAAGUCCUGGUGUAGCGGUGAAAUGCUUAGAUAUUAGGAGGAACACCAGUGGCGAAGGCGGCUUACUGGACUGUAACUGACGCUGAGGCACGAAAGCGUGGGUAGCAAACAGGAUUAGAUACCCGGGUAGUC